ensembl:lncRNA
CCCCACUUUCAAUGAGGGCUUUCGUUGGGGGCUCGCAGGCAGAGGAGGGAGCGUGAGUGAGCAAGUCCUUCAAAAGGAAGUAACUACAGGAUGGAAUUGGCUGGUAUCCCCAGGAUCCCAGGCAGCAGGUGGGCAGUCCCUGUGGACCCUGCCACGGAGAGAACACCCUCUCGACUCCUAAAUCAGGGCUUCUGUCACAGGACCCUGGCCACCGGUUCCCAACAUGGACAGAUGAGGACCUGAGCCCAGCCGAGCCCAUCCGUCUGUUCUCCGAGGGCUUCCCCUGUGCCUGUGCCCGUGCCCUACACAGCAGGAGAGCCUCGGAGAACCCUGACAGGUCUGCGUUGCAAUCCUGGCUCCGCCUUUCUCUAGCUCUGCCUCCAGAGGUAAGUCCCCUUUCAGAGUCCUUAUUCCUUCAUUUAUAAAGCAUACCAAGAGUGGUUCCUAUUUCACAAGGUGAUGGUAAGAAUUAGAUUAUUCCUGUCAACUGCUUCCCUCGGUCCCCGGUAUGCACCUGACAGUGGCCUAGGUUAUGAGCCUGGCAGGGCUGGGGUGGGAGCUACUGCGACUCUGGGGGGAAAUGGGGAAUAAGCCCCCAUCAGCUAGCUCUGUCUCCACCUGAACUCUGCGCUGGGUUUUCCUGAUACCUGCUUCAUCCCCAGUUAUUCUCAUGAAGAGUCUCUGGCCCCUCCCCACUAGACUUGCCAGCCUGGUUUUCUAGAACAAGGGAGCUUCUCUUGUAACAACCAUCCAGGGGCAACGGGACUCUGGCUUCUUCCUGGGGAGGGGAGACGGCCUGGAAUGCCCAGGGCAGGAGGGCUCCUAUGCGUAGAGCAGAGCUUGCAAACUCCAGGGAACUGUCCAGACUUUAUUUGCCUGCUUUGGGUUUCGAAAACACUGGAAUUUGUUGCUAAGAUUUAGAACCUGGGAGCUCUCACCUAACACUGGGCCCACACUCCUGACUGGGCAGCAGCAGCUGGACCUGUGGGCCUGUUCCCUGGACUCUGUGGCUCCCCAGCCUCCACCUGGUUCCGGCCCCCCCACUGCCCAGGGUGUCCUCAAGCUGGAGGUGGCUGCACAUAAAUCUCCUGUUAUUUUAAAUCAACCACCUCUGGACUUCCCAUCAUGGCUCAGCGGAAACGAAUCUGACUAGUAUCCAUGAGGACACAGGUUCGAUCCCUGGCCUUGCUCAGCUGGUUAUGGUUCCGGCAUUGCCGUGAGCUGUGGUGUAGGUCACAGAUGCAGCUUGGAUCUGGCGUGGCUGUGGCUGUGGUAUAGGCCAGAGGCUACAGCUCCGACUGGACCCCUAGCCUGGGAACCUCCAUGUGCCAUUGGUAUGGCCCUAAAGAAACAAACAUUAAAAUUAAAAAAUUAAAAAUAGAUCAAUCACCCCUGCUUCCAUCUAAAGCCAAUCCCUCUGCUGUAACCUAGAUCCCACCCCUCUCAUCCUCGCAAGGAUAUCAUUCCAGCAAUUCCUCAUCUCCCUGAAAUCCUGGAUUAAAUCCAUUUCACCUGCCUUCACUAAUCAAGGUCAAGUUAAGACCUAUCCACCAAGAAGCAUGAAGCCUAAACGAGAUGUUUGCCUGAGUUAUUUUCCAGAAGCUUGGAGUCCCCUCUGCCUAAUCGGAGCUGAGUGGGUUAAAUCUGGAUAGAACCACCGACCCUCUAACUGCAGGUGCGUGGGUGUCCACUCUGUGACCUUUUGAUGUCAAAUGGCCCCAAAUCCCACCCCUCCAAACAUGCAGAGGCUGUAGCUGAGUGACACCUGUGCAGGGCAAGCACCGCACUUUUUCCAAUAGCCUUCCCCCACGCCACCUGCGCUGACCACGCCUCCGGCCUCCCCGCGUCAUUAUUAGCCCAUAAAUACCCCAGCCCCUGGCUUGGGGGAGGAUGGAUUCAAGGCUUCUUCUCUAGUCUUCUCGUCUGGCUGCCUUGCAAGUAAGUCCUCUCUUUGCUUCAAAUUUUGGCGUCUUGGUGUUUGGCUUGCUGUGCGUCAGCAAAGGAAUUUCUUUUAUCUCGCCGAUUUUCCUCCCCCACUCGGUCAUUCUCUGUUAGGCUACAAACAUGUGGUCAUUUCUUCCCUCUUAGAAAACCUUUCUCUUAUUCCUGCUUGCCCUGCCAGCUCCUGUUCAGUUCUCAGGUUUUUUUGAAGCUAAACUCUCUAAAAAUUCCCCUACACCCCGUUUCUAAUUCCUCUCCUCCCAAGGAGUGGUUCGCUCUUAAAACUACUCGAGUUCAGGGAGUUCCCAUUGUGGCUCAGAGGUAAUAAACCCGGAUAAUAUCCAUGAGGAUGCA